rnacentral:ncRNA from 19 species
UGCAAGACGGUUGCUGAGCUUGUCGAAGCAUGAAUCUUGCGUCGUUCUUAGUUAAAAUCACUUAUGGUUCGACAAGUUCACCGAUCGUGAUUUCAGGUUGAGGGACUAAAAAACGCCGUCAAUUCUGACCGCACUUUUCACAUAAAUAAAAAGCCGAAUAACAUAUUCGGCUUUUCGUU